UACAGAGGUCCCAAGCGUUGUUCGGAUUCAUUGGGCGUAAAGGGUGCGUAGGCGGCGCGGUAAGUCGGGUGUGAAAUCUCGGGGCUUAACUCCGAAACUGCAUUCGAUACUGCCGUGCUUGAGGACUGGAGAGGAGACUGGAAUUUACGGUGUAGCGGUGAAAUGCGUAGAUAUCAGGAGGAACACCAAUAGCGAAGGCAGCUCGCUGGGACGGUACUGACGCUAAGGCGCGAAAGCGUGGGGAGCGAACAGG
rnacentral:rRNA from 1 species